rnacentral:rRNA from 1 species
CUACGGGUGGCUCCGGUGGGGAAUAUUGCACAAUGGAGGAAACUCUGAUGCAGCAACGCCGCGUGGAGGAUGACACUUUUCAGAGCGUAAACUCCUUUUAUAUAGGAAGAAGAUGACGGUACUAUAUGAAUAAGCGCCGGCUAACUCCGUGCCAGCAGCCGCGGUAAUACGGAGGGCGCAAGCGUUACUCGGAAUCACUGGGCGUAAAGAGCGUGUAGGCGGAUUAAAAAGUCAGAAGUGAAAUCCUAUAGCUUAACUAUAGAACUGCUUCUGAAACUCUUAAUCUAGAAUAUGGGAGAGGUAGAUGGAAUUUCUGGUGUAGGGGUAAAAUCCGUAGAGAUCAGAAGGAAUACCGAUUGCGAAGGCGAUCUACUAGAACAUUAUUGACGCUGAGACGCGAAAGCGUGGGGAGCAAACAGGAUUAGAUACCCUCGUAGUC